rnacentral:rRNA from 1 species
UUGUACCGACUGGAUGAGCAGCGAACGGGUGAGUAACGCGUGGGGAAUCUGCCUUUGAGCGGGGGACAACAUUUGGAAACGAAUGCUAAUACCGCAUAAAAACUUUAAACACAAGUUUUAAGUUUGAAAGAUGCAAUUGCAUCACUCAAAGAUGAUCCCGCGUUGUAUUAGCUAGUUGGUGAGGUAAAGGCUCACCAAGGCGAUGAUACAUAGCCGACCUGAGAGGGUGAUCGGCCACAUUGGGACUGAGACACGGCCCAAACUCCUACGGGAGGCAGCAGUAGGGAAUCUUCGGCAAUGGACGAAAGUCUGACCGAGCAACGCCGCGUGAGUGAAGAAGGUUUUCGGAUCGUAAAACUCUGUUGGUAGAGAAGAACGUUGGUGAGAGUGGAAAGCUCAUCAAGUGACGGUAACUACCCAGAAAGGGACGGCUAACUACGUGCCAGCAGCCGCGGUAAUACGUAGGUCCCGAGCGUUGUCCGGAUUUAUUGGGCGUAAAGCGAGCGCAGGUGGUUUAUUAAGUCUGGUGUAAAAGGCAGUGGCUCAACCAUUGUAUGCAUUGGAAACUGGUAGACUUGAGUGCAGGAGAGGAGAGUGGAAUUCCAUGGGUAAGCGGUUG